rnacentral:lncRNA from 1 species
UCAAACUGUACUUAAUUUUUUUUUUUUCUUUCCAUAACAACUUCCUUGCCAAUUGGGCUAUGAACCUUGUCCAACUAAAUUAAACUUAAGUUAAUGCAAAAUGCAUAAUUAAUUCAUGCAGAACAUGAUAUCAGAGUCUUUCUUUGCAAGUGGUCCUAAGUUUGAAUCAUGUUCCGCUUCUUUGGUCCGAUAGCUUAAGGUUUCCGGACUAGCGGUUGUUUAACAAUGGGAAAGUCCAAAAUGACCAUUU